UACGUAGGGUGCAAGCGUUAAUCGGAAUUACUGGGCGUAAAGCGUGCGCAGGCGGUUGUGCAAGACAGAUGUGAAAUCCCCGGGCUUAACCUGGGAAUUGCAUUUGUGACUGCACGGCUAGAGUGUGUCAGAGGGGGGGUAGAAUUCCACGUGUAGCAGUGAAAUGCGUAGAGAUGUGGAGGAACACCGAUGGCGAAGGCAGCCCCCCUGGGUCAAGAUUGACGCUCAUGCACGAAAGCGUGGGGGAGCAAACAGG
rnacentral:rRNA from 1 species